GAGGAUACAGGAGAGCAAAGGCGGGAGUGGGUGAAUCCUCAGGCCUGCAACCUUGUUCCGCAGGCAGUCCUCCCCUUGGAUGGCAGAUCUGCCUCACUGCAGCGCUUAACCUCCGUAACAAACGGAGCUCUGUCGUGUGCGGGACGGACAGGAUGGUGAGUUCUGCACAGUGAGCUUGUGAUCUUUAGUCUCUGUGUCGAGAUGGUGGCAGACUGCUGCAGCUGGUUAUCCCGAUGUAGGCAGGAGGGCGCUCCGAGCUGCUGCUGACACAGGGGAGUCCUGAGGAAACAGGGCGCCUACUUUGAGACCUGGAAAGCAGAGCUGCGCUGACGUUAAAUGAAGACAUUUAGCCUUGGUUAGAACUCUCAGGAAGACUUCUGUUCCCUCACUGUCCACUUGUUUUUGCAGCAGCAGCAGCUCCGCUGUGGAAGUGUGAAACUUUUACCACACAAAACUAACGUGAAGCAGGACACGAAGGCAGAGGCCAUGGUGUACAGCGUGACCUUCAUUGGCUGGGAGCAGAACCGGGAAGAAAUGGUAAAAUUCACCUUAGAAGAACCUUGGAAUGGAUUUGGAUUCCUGUUGCUGCCUGGGGCUGAAACUGUUAUUUAAUCAGACCUGCUUAACACCUUUAGACUAGAGUGUGCCUGGGAAUUUAUUACCACGUGGAACCUGUGUAAAGUAAUGUGGCAGUCCUAAUGGCCAAAUAGAAUAAUAAAAUAUUGAUGCUC